UACGUAGGGUCCAAGCGUUAUCCGGAAUCACUGGGCGUAAAGCGUGCGUAGGUGGAUGUUUAAGUGUAUCGCGAAAUCUUGUGGCUCAACCAUAUAGACUGUAAUACAUACUGGAUAUCUAGAGGACGGCAGAGGCAAGUGGAAUUUGUAGUGUAGCAGUGAAAUGCGUAGAUAUUACAAGGAACACCAAUGGCGAAGGCAGCUUGCUGGGCCGACCCUGACACUGAGGUACGAAAGCGUGGGGAGCGAACAGG
rnacentral:rRNA from 1 species